UACGAAGGAUGCAAGCGUUAUCCGGAUUUAUUGGGUUUAAAGGGAGCGUAGGCGGCCUUAUAAGUCAGUGGAUGAAAUCUCGUUGCUUAACAACGAACGUGCCAUUGAUACUGUAGGGCUUGAGUACAGAUGCCGUUGGCGGAAUGUGUCAUGUAGCGGUGAAAUGCAUAGAUAUGACACAGAACACCGAUUGCGAAGGCAGCUGACGAAACUGUAACUGACGCUGAGGCUCGAAAGCGUGGGGAUCAAACAGG
rnacentral:rRNA from 1 species